rnacentral:tRNA from 1 species
GGGCGUUUAGCUCAGCUGGAUAGAGCGUUGGCCUCCGGAGCCAAAGGUCACAGGUUCGAAUCCUGUAACGCCUA